rnacentral:rRNA from 1 species
UACGUAGGGGGCAAGCGUUGUCCGGAAUCAUUGGGCGUAAAGCGCGUGUAGGCGGUCCGAUAAGUUCGCUGUGAAAGUCGGGGGCUUAACCCUCGGAUGCCGGUGAAUACUGUCGGGCUUGAGUACGGAAGAGGCGAGUGGAAUUCCUGGUGUAGCGGUGAAAUGCGCAGAUAUCAGGAGGAACACCAAUUGCGAAGGCAGCUCGCUGGGACGUUACUGACACUGAGGCGCGAAAGCGUGGGGAGCGAACAGG